CCAAUGAGGGCGUCCAUGGGAGUUCGCUCUCCCGUGGCUCUGUCCGAGUGGCGUAUGGGAGCGUAGGCCUCUGGGCCCUUGACGUACAGUCCCAUUCCACAGCGUUGGAGAGAGUGCCUGUCCCCGGCCCUUGGGCUGGUGAGGACAGCAGCCUGUAUAUUCCUAUACCUUCUCAGAGUCCAGCGGGCAAUGACUGAGGAGAUAAACCAUGCAGGGUACAAUU
ensembl:snoRNA SNORA73 Small nucleolar RNA SNORA73 family